rnacentral:lncRNA from 1 species
GAGGCGGGGAAUUUGAAGAGAAAAGCUGCCUGAGUCAACUGCUUUAAGAAGAACUGGUGGUUGCAUUUUCCUUGCUGGUCGAGUUGGACGCAACAAUGGUGGAUAAUGUCUUUGAUGUGUUUUUGGAUUCAGUGUGUGAGUAUUUUAUUGAGUAUUUUUGUAUCAAUGUUUAUAAGGGAAAUUGCUCUGACAUUCUUUCUUUGUUGAGUCUUUGAGUGUUUUAAGUUUAUCAGGGUUACUGUGACCUCAUAGAAUGAGUUUGGCAAUGGUCCUGUUUUUUAUUUUGUGGAAUAGUUUUAAGAAUAUUAGCAUUAACUCUUAUUUAAAUGUCUGGUAGAAUUCUGUGCUAAAACCAUCUGGCCUAUGCUUUUGAUGGUUGGAAGACUUUUAAUGAAUGUUUCUAUUUUCUGAAGGGUUAUGGGACUGUUUAGAUAGUUUACCUGAUCUGUGGUAAGUUGUAUCUGUCUAGGUGAAAAUCAGCCAUUUCAUUUAGAUUUUUUUUAAUACAGGUUUUUGAAGUAAAACCUAAUGCUUUUUUUUUAAUUUCCUCAGUUUCUUUUAUUAUAUCUCUCUUUUCAUUUCUGGUUUUGUUAAUUUGGGUACUUCCUCUGUGCCUUUUAAUUUGGCUAAAGUUUUGUCUAUCUUGUUAAUUUUCUAAAAAUAGCCAGCUCUUAGCUUCGUUGAUUUUUUUUUGUAUUGCUCUGUUUCUAAUUGAUUGAUUUCAACCCUGAGUUUGAUUAUUUCCUGCCAUCUACCCCUCUUGAGUGUGUUUGUUUCCUUUUGUUCUAGAGCUUUCAGGUGCACUUUUAAUUCAUUAGUAUGAGAACUCUCAAAUUUAUGAAGCCACUUCUUGCUAUGAACUUUCUGAAAGUAGAAGGGGAAGGGCCCAGACCCCCCGGUGAACUGCCUGGAAGAGAUACUAUUCUAAGAAAGACCUUGGGGACAGUAGUGUGAUAAGAACCUUCCACCAAAGGUGACUAGGACCCCACAGUCAGCUUACCAGUGACCAGAGAGGCCAUGCAUGGUUGUUAUAAUCAGAGGCAUAUCAGAAGGCCUGACUCCAGCAGGACUGACUUCUCAGGGACCCUAUUGCAGGAUGGCCUUGGAUGUGAUUCCUGAUCAUGGGGCUCAGGCCAUGAAUGGGAGGAAAAUGGGGAGGGGGAACCUUUCUCCUGCUUCUCAAUGCUCCACACAGCAAGACACAGAGCCUGCCAUGCUCCUUCGACCCCACACUGCCUGACAUACAUGAUCUCACAGGUGAAGCAUCGGGGUGUAGACUGAGGACAAACCUGUCAUCUAGAUAAAUACCUGAGUGAGAGGCUAGUCUGUCUGGUCUUUCUACUGAGGAGUAAGGAGGCUGGAGAGGGCACAGUGCUCUGGAUUCCAGAACAAGUUGACUGGAGGUUUGAUCCAAUUGCUUGAUCCAAUACCUACCCCCAGCUCACAGGAAACAACUGGCCUUCUGAUGGCCUUUAUCUAAGGGGGUGGGGAAGGAAAGCAAAAAGCCUAUGUGUGUAGCCAAGGCCAGAUUCAGGCCAUUCCUAUCCCAAAGAACAUGCAUAAGAGUGUACUUUCCUAUUCAGUGUUAAAUGACUAUUAUUUGCUAAGUGGCCCACUGAUGAACUCCCAAGCCACAUAGAUGCACAAAGGUUCUUGGAAGUCAACAAGGAUUCCAGUUAAGCACUGCCAGGGAAGUCCAGAAUCACCAGCCUGACUGAGGCUGCCUCCUAUAUAGCAUAUCUGGAUAGAAUGAAUAUGGAAAACAUUUGAGCAGCUCUGCUAUUCACAGUUUCCCAUUUGUUUAGGUAUUGCUUACUUUCUUUGAAUUUUUGUAGAAUUUUAGAAAAAAUAUCAGAUACAUGGCAAAUGAGCCAGUGAGUUAAAAACAAAUACAAGCAGGUAUGGUGAGUGAAGAAGUCAGGUAGCACUUCAAACACCUGUCUCUCUGGAGGGAGAUCCCCUCCAAGCCAGGGAUGACAUGCACACCCCUUCCACUCUGAAGAUCACUUCUCCACUCUAGCAGAUGCCUGGGUAGGGGCUUUUGAUUUGUUUUGGUUUUUGAAGUGGGUUAAAAGCAAGAGUUGUUUGUCUUUGGUCCCUAGUCGGGAAGGAGGCUUCAGGACUUCUCAGCACUACCUUUAAAUGAGCAGCUGUUAGGUAAAUUCCUAGACCUCUUCCCCAUCUCCACUCCCAUAAUUUUGGCUGCUAGUAUGUCACCUGUGUUCUGGCCAGAAACUGGUGGACUCUUGUCUCUCAGGAGACUUUGAGAAGCAUCUGAGAGAAGACUGUGGGAUACUAGAGAGGGGGUCCCCAGGUAAACCGAGCAGUGGAUUACUUCAAAGGGCAUCUCAAAUCCAGUUUUAAUGAGGUCGUUGGUGCCAUAGAGCAGGUACCCAGGAGUCCAGGUUCUUCCCUGGGGCAAAUAAUAGAUAAAUAUAUGGAUGGAUGGAUGGAUGGAUGGAUGGACGGAUGGACAGACAGACAGACAGAUAUAGAUAGAUGAAAUAAAGCAGAUGCUCAGUGAAAUAAACCAGAUACUUAGAAAUUUUGAAGAGGUGUUCACUGGGGCUGAAAGCAAAGAGCAGAAUACUCCCUGUUGAGAAGGGCAGGGUCUCCAGAGCAGUUAGACUGACUAAUGGACUCUGGGAUGAUCUUUUCUCAGGCCCCUGGACUUGCGCUCUUUAGAAACCCCUUUUUUCUUUCUCAGUUCCCACCUUCCCUCUCUCAUUACUCCAUCUCCUUGGCCAGAGUGGUCCUCUCUGAAAGAUAAUCUCAGUUCCCAAGUAGGAGUGCUUUCUCUCUUUAUAAUCCAGCCACUGUGUUAGAAGUUUAUCUCUUUCCCCAUGAUCUCUUCCCUAACUCCCUAUUCCCUGCUAACAAGCUCAGAGCUUUGGUUUUGUUUAUUUAAUUGUAUGGUGCUGUUCAUGUCUGUGGGUUUUUUCUCCUAUAUUUUAUGUUUUUAUUGAAAAUAAUUUUUCAUAUAUUAUAUUCUGACCAUAGUUUCUGCACCAUCUGUUCCCAUAAUUUCCCCACUUCCCACCCCAUCAAACUCCUAAUGUUCUCUCUAUAUCUUUGGAAAAUAAGCAGGAAAAAAAAUGAACCACAAUAAAGG